ACAUAGCCCCCUAAAUCAUAAGAGGUGUAACCUGCCCAGUGGUUUAAAUAAUCUCCACAAAGGAGAGUAAAUAAUUAAACGGCCGCGGAAUCCUAACCGUGACAAUGUAGCACAAUCAAUUGCCACUUAAUUGGUGGAUAGUAUGAAUGGUUUAACGAAUAUUACACUGUCUCUAAUAAAGAUCUAAAAAAAUUAAUAUAGUAGUGAAGAUUCUACUUAAAAAGGCAAGACGAAAAGACCCUAUAGAGCUUAACUAUAACUUCUAUUCAACUAAAAUAGAAAUUGGUAGUUUAGUUGGGGCGACUACUUUCUACAAUCAACGAAAGUAAGCAAUGUUAUUAAUAAUUCUUACUGUUUAAUAAACUAAUUUAACAGUUACUAAAGUAGGCUUAAUUGACCUGAUAGUACUUAAAAUAGAGACUAACGAUCACUGAAUAAAAGCUACCUUAGGGAUAACAGGGAAAUUCUGCAAUAGAGAUCCGAUCGACUGCAGAGCUUACCACCUCUAUGUUGAAUUGGGAUAUCCAAGUUGUGCAGCAGCAACUAAGGGUAGGUCUGUUCGACCUUUAAAAUCCUACAUGAUUUGAGUUCAUUCCGUCGCAAGACAGG
rnacentral:rRNA from 1 species